rnacentral:rRNA from 1 species
ACUUGGAGGAAUGAAAAGCAAUAGCUGAUUGCAUUAAAUUUAAAAUUAGAGUUUUUUUAAUUUUUAAUGUAGUUACUACUUUGUAGUUUAAAUUUCUAGGUAGAAUUAUGAUGAUGACAUUAUCUAUCUAUAGGUCUUGACCAAAUUACGUGCCAGCAGUCGCGGUAAUACGUAGAAGACAAGUGUUAUUCAUCUUUAUUAGGUUUAAAGAGUACCAAGACGGUUAAUAAAGCCCAAAAUACAUGAGCACAGGGGACACAUUAACUAGAGUUAUAUGAAAGGAAGCAUUAAGGUACUGUUGAGUGUAGAGAUAAAAUUCAGUCAUACCAGAUGAAAGGCACAGAUUUAUGCGAAGGCAUCUUCCUAUGUAAUAACUGACGUUGUAGGACGAAGGCUUUUGAAGUGAAGAGGAUUAGAUACCCUUGUAAUUUAAGCAGAAAAUGAUGAAUGUCAUAGGUUUAAUAUAUCCACCCCCCCAAAAAAAAGGGGGUGGAUGUUUUAUUGGGUCUAUAAAUGAAAGUGUAAGCAUUCCACCUCAAGAGUAAUUUGGCAACAUUGGAACUGAAAUCAUUAGACCGUUUCUGAAACCAGUAGUGAAGUAUGUUGUUUAAUUAGAUGAUACACAAAAAACCUUACCACAAUUUGAAUAUAUAUCAUUAAUGAUAUUUACAAGCGUUGCACGGCUGUCUUCAGUUAAUGUCGUGAGAUUUUGGUUAGUUCCAUAAAAUUAACGUAAACCCUCGUUUUAUUUAUAAAUAAAAUUUACAAUCUGUUUCUAUAGAUUUGAUAU